AAUUACCUUCCUAUCUCCUUCGUAUUACUUUCCUCUCCUUCCCCUUAUGCAGAGAACAUCACCACCCUGAAGCCAGAGACUAACACUGCAGGACUCAGCAGGACUAUUUAAGAAACAACUGAGGCAUCAGACCAACUUUCCCCACAAGUCCUCGGAUCUUUCCUGCCAUGCUGAUGCCAUAUAUUCCAACGUGAUCAACCUGGCUCCCCAGAAGGAGGACGACUUUGCUGUCUACACCAACAUGCCCCCUUUUCAUCACCCCAGGAGGACAUUGCCAGACCAAGUGGAAUAUGUCUCCAUUGUAUUCCACUGAUGGGAAGCUAAUGAGAUGCUCAGAGUGGGGGUCAGACCUGGCCCCAGCUGAAUCUUGGCAUACCCUUUGCUUUAGAUUUAUGUGUGUGUUUAAAAAAAAAAAAAUACAUAGGCCAGGCACGGUGGCUCACACCUGUAUCCCAGCACUUUGGGAGGCUGAGGCAGGCAGAUCACCAGGUCAAGAGAUCAAGACCAUCCUGGCCAACAUGGUGAAACCCCGUCUCUACUAAAGAUACAAAAAUUAGCCAGGUGUGGUGGUGCAUGCCUGUAAUCCCAGCUACUUGGAAGGCUGAGGCAGGAGAAUCACUUGAACCCAGGGGGCGGAAGUUGCAGUGAGCCAAGAUCACACCGCUGCACUCCAGCCUGGCA
rnacentral:lncRNA from 1 species